UACGUAGGGGGCAAGCGUUGUCCGGAUUUAUUGGGCGUAAAGAGCGUGUAGGCGGCUAUGCAGGUCCGUUGUGAAAACUCGAGGCUCAACCUUGAGACGCCGAUGGAAACCGCAUGGCUAGAGUCCGGAAGAGGAGAGUGGAAUUCCUGGUGUAGCGGUGAAAUGCGCAGAUAUCAGGAAGAACACCCGUGGCUAAGGCGGCUCUCUAGUACGGUACUGACGCUGAGACGCGAAAGCGUGGGGAGCGAACAGG
rnacentral:rRNA from 1 species